rnacentral:rRNA from 1 species
UUAGGGCUAGCGUCGGAUAUGAGUAAUGGAGGUAGAGCACUGAAUGGGCUAGGGGGCGUAUCGCUUACCGAACCUUAUCAAACUCCGAAUGCCAUAUACUAUUAGUCCGGCAGUCAGACUGCGAAUGAUAAGGUCCGUAGUCAAAAGGGAAAAAGCCCAGACCGUCAGCUAAGGUCCCAAAUUGUAAGUUAAGUGGUAAAGGAUGUGGGAUUUCUAAGACAACUAGGAUGUUGGCUUAGAAGCAGCCACUCAUUUAAAGAGUGCGUAAUAGCUCACUGGUCGAGUGACGCUGCGCCGAAAAUGUAUCGGGGCUAAACGAUUCACCGAAGCUGUGGAUGGACACUUUAAGUGUCCGUGGUAGGAGAGCGUUCUAAUUGCUGUGAAGUCAGAUCGUAAGGACUGGUGGAGCGAUUA